rnacentral:rRNA from 1 species
CCUACGGGAGGCAGCAGUAGGGAAUCUUCCACAAUGGGCGAAAGCCUGAUGGAGCAACGCCGCGUGGGUGAAGAAGGUCUUCGGAUCGUAAAACCCUGUUGUUAGAGAAGAAAGUGCGUGAGAGUAACUGUUCACGUUUCGACGGUAUCUAACCAGAAAGGCACGGCUAACUACGUGCCAGCAGCCGCGGUAAUACGUAGGUGGCAAGCGUUAUCCGGCUUUAUUGGGCGUAAAGGGAACGCAGGCGGUCUUUUAAGUCUGAUGUGAAAGCCUUCGGCUUAACCGGAGUAGUGCAUUGGAAACUGGGAGACGUGAGUGCAGAAGAGGAGAGUGGAACUCCAGGUGUAGCGGUGAAAUGCGUAGAUAUAUGGAAGAACACCAGUGGCGAAAGCGGCACUCUGGUCUGUAACUGACGCUGAGGUUCGAAAGCGUGGGUAGCAAACAGGAUUAGAUACCCGGGUAGUC